UACAGAGAGUGCGAGCGUUAAUCGGAAUCACUGGGCGUAAAGCGCGCGUAGGUGGAUAUUUAAGUCGGAUGUGAAAGCCCUGGGCUUAACCUGGGAACUGCAUUCGAUACUGAAUAUCUAGAGUAUGGUAGAGGGAAGUGGAAUUUCCGGUGUAGCGGUGAAAUGCGUAGAUAUCGGAAAGAACAUCAGUGGCGAAGGCGGCUUCCUGGACCAAUACUGACACUCAAGUGCGAAAGCGUGGGGAGCAAACAGG
rnacentral:rRNA from 1 species